rnacentral:rRNA from 1 species
GCAAGUCGAACGGAUCCUUUGGGAUCAGUGGCGCACGGGUGAGUAACGCGUGGAUAUCUACCUCGGGAUGGGGAUUAACCAUUGGAAACGAUGGCUAAUACCGCAUCCGCCGGAAACGGGAAAGCUUUAUGCGUCCUGAGAUGAGUCCGCGUUAGAUUAGAUAGUUGGUGGGGUAAUGGCCUACCAAGUCGACGAUCUAUAGCUGGUCUGAGAGGAUGAUC